rnacentral:lncRNA from 1 species
AGACACUUCACGCCUGCACUCACGCCUCACAGCCACACACACGGGCACACCCACAGUGGGCACGCUCACACCCCAGUCACGCACACACACACAUCCACACACCUCCCUCUGCUGCUUCCUCCCUCAAGUGCCCGCACCCCCAUGCGUCCCCGUACAGUCCCAGUCAGGGCCGCUCCCCUGCACCCCCCGUCAUUUCCCACUUCCGUUCCCAGCACCGGCAUUCGGCAUUUGCCGCGGGCCGAGGGCUGGUGCGACAGAAGCCCUGCCAGCGCCACGAGCCGACGCCCCUGUAAAAGCGGCUGUUCCGCGCACACAGGAGCCGCCUCUGGCCUGCCAGACACGUCCUGCCCGGAGGACCACAGACCCGAGGCCGGCUAGGACCAGAGGACCGCGGCUCACUGGCCAUCAGCAGGCUCACAGGGUCCCCUCGCAGCACCCAGGGGGCUGGGGCCCGGCCGACCACUGAGAGAACUCGCCGUGCAUCCCCUGCCGGCCUCCCUGCUCAGGGGCAGCUGGGACGUGGGCAGCCGCCUUUCAGACUCUAGCCAGGGUCCCGGAUGUGGGGAAGGCCACCCAUCAGGCGAGUGUAUGUGAGACGUGGGGACAACGGGGGCACCCCACGGAGACACCAGCUUGUCCUGCCGCGUUCUCCAUAUGCUGGAGUGGGGGUGGCUGCAGGCGCAGCUGCUUCCCCUGGCUCAUCUGGCUUUCAGGUGGUCACGGCUGUGCGGGUCUGUUCCCCAGCUCCCGGGGGUGCAAGGCAGUGGCAACGCAGCGGCCCUGGUGGCUUUAUGCUCCCGGCACGGCUCCGGGGGGGCUGCCGUGGUGACAGUGCCUGGUGGGGCGGCACUCUGUGCCUGAGUCUCCCAGGAGGCCCGUCUGGAGUCUGCAGCCCAUCCUGGGUCCUGUGAUACCCCUUCCCUGUGUUCAAUCCCUUCCUGCUCAGAGUCCUUGGGGCCAC